rnacentral:rRNA from 1 species
CCGUUGCCGGCGACCGGCGCACGGGUGAGUAACACGUAUGCAACCUGCCCGUGGCAGGGGGAUAAGCGGAGGAAACCCCGUCUAAUACCGCGUAACGCGGCCUAGGGACAUCCCAAGGCCGCCAAAGGGAGCAAUCCCGGCCACGGAUGGGCAUGCGGCGCAUUAGCUAGUCGGCGGGGUAACGGCCCACCGAGGCGACGAUGCGUAGGGGUUCUGAGAGGAAGGCCCCCCACACUGGUACUGAGACACGGACCAGACUCCUACGGAAGGCAGCAG